rnacentral:rRNA from 1 species
UACGUAGGGGGCGAGCGUUGUCCGGAGUUACUGGGCGUAAAGGGCGUGCAGGCGGUGCGGUAAGUUUAGAGUGACAGUAUCCGGCUUAACUGGAUAAGGCCUCUGAAAACUGCCGGACUUGAGGGCCAGAGAGGGACAUAGAAUCCGGGUGGAGUGGUGAAAUGCGUAGAUAUCCGGAGGAAUACCAAAGGCGAAGGCAGUGUCCUGGCUGGCGAUCUGACGCUGGGAGG